UGAAAUGGACAGAAGGCUUUGGAGAAAGAGGUGUCCCAGAUGAUCCAUACAUCUCUGGGUUGUAGAGCUGGAUGGAUGGAAAUGUCAUUCACAGAGAUAGAAAUUGCACGACGAGGACAGGGUGUGGUGGGGGGGGAGAACAGUCCUUACUAUUAUACGUGACACUUCAUGGCCUAAAAAUGUUUUUUAUGUUCUACCAUACUGAUUAAGUGGGAACGUUGACUGUUUAAAAGGAAAAAAAAAAAAAAACUGUUUCUUUUGGUGGGUCAUCCGGAUUUUCAAAAAGUUCUGCUUAAAACAUUUCCCUUAGAACUUAGU